rnacentral:rRNA from 1 species
AGCAGUAGCCACGGGAAUACGAAGGGGGCUAGCGUUGCUCGGAAUUACUGGGCGUAAAGGGAGCGUAGGCGGAUCGUUUAGUCAGGGGUGAAAUCCCGGGGCUCAACCUCGGAACUGCCUUUGAUACUGGCGAUCUUGAGUAUGGGAGAGGUGUGUGGAACUCCGAGUGUAGAGGUGAAAUUCGUAGAUAUUCGGAAGAACACCAGUGGCGAAGGCGACACACUGGCCCAUUACUGACGCUGAGGCUCGAAAGCGUGGGGAGCAAACAGGAUUAGAUACCCCAGUAGUCCCUGUCUCUUAUAC